GCCCGGGUGGCGGAAUGGUAGACGCGGGGGGCUUAAACCCCCCUGACGAGAAAUCGUCGUGUGGGUUCGAGUCCCGCCCCGGGCA
rnacentral:tRNA from 1 species